GAAAGGAUAGCUAAUACCGGAUGAAGUGGUUUGGCAUAAGUCAAAUCAUGAAAGAUUGCCUCUUCUUGAAAGCAAUUGUUUGGGGAUGAGUCUGCGGACCAUUAGUUAGUUGGUGGGGUAACGGCCUACCAAGACCGCGAUGGUUAGCUGGUCUGAGAGGAUGAUCAGUCACACUGGAACUGGAACACGGUCCAGACUCCUACGGGAGGCAGCAGUGAGGAAUUUUGCGCAAUGGGGGAAACCCUGACGCAGCAACGCCGCGUGAGUGAAGAAGGCCUUUGGGUCGUAAAGCUCUGUCGACAGGGAAGAAAUUACAACUAUCCAACAGGUAGUUGUAUUGACGGUACCUGUAGAGGAAGCACCGGCUAACUCCGUGCCAGCAGCCGCGGUAACACGGGGGGUGCAAGCGUUAUUCGGAAUUAUUGGGCGUAAAGGGCGCGUAGGCGGUCUUGUCGGUCAGAUGUGAAAGCCCGGGGCUCAACCCCGGACGUGCAUUUGAAACAGCAAGACUUGAGUACGGGAGAGGAAAGCGGAAUUCCUGGUGUAGAGGUGAAAUUCGUAGAUAUCAGGAGGAACACCGAUGGC
rnacentral:rRNA from 1 species